rnacentral:RNase_P_RNA from 1 species
GGAGUCGGCCAGGCAAUCGCUGUACUUUUGUGCAGAGGAAAGUCCGGGCUCCAGAGGGCGAGGUGCCAGGUAACACCUGGGGGGCGUGAGCCUACGGAAAGUGCAACAGAGAGUAGACCGCCUAAGCGCUUCGGCGCCGGUAAGGGUGAAAGGGUGCGGUAAGAGCGCACCGCGCGGGUGGCAACAUUCCGCGGCAUGGUAAACCCCACCUGGAGCAAGACCAAAUAGGGGAACAGGCUUUUGCCAGGCGCGGCCCGCGCGGGUUCC